rnacentral:tRNA from 1 species
UCCCCGAUAGCUCAGUGGUAGAGCAGUUGACUGUUAAUCAAUUGGUCGGCGGUUCAAGUCCGUCUCGGGGAG